UUUUCUUUUUUUAAGCUGAUUAAUUUAUUUUGAGAGAGAGUGAGCGCGCAUAGGACAGGGACAGAGAGAGAGAAGAGAGUGAGAGAAUCCCAAGCAGGCCCCCUUCCGACAUUGUGGAGCCUGACUUGAGGGCUUGACUUCAUAAACCAGGAGGUCAUGACCUGAACUGAAAUCAAGAGUCAGACACUUAACCUACUGAGCCACUCAGGCAUCCUGACUCUUUAAGUAUGUUUAGGUGUUUAAAGGUUUAAACUUGACCAAACCUCAAAUUUUCAUUAAGAUGGUGACUUAGCACUAUGUAAUUGGAAAAGGAGAUAGGAUUUAAAGUUUGCUUUUGAUUUUAAUGGUUUUUGUUUAGAGACCUGCACUAUAGGACCUAUCUACCCAAUUUCAGUUUGUUUUUUUUUCCCCCCUCCUUUGCCUCUCCUUGUCUUUUCCACUACAUAACCCAACUUCUUCAUCUGUAAAGAAAUUGAUUUAGAAAUUUCCAUGGUGGGGCGGGCACCUGGGUGGCUCAGUCGGUUAGGCAUCUGACUUUGGCUCAGGUCAUGGUCUCCUGGUUGGUGAGUUCGAGCCCCUCAUCCGGCUCUAUGCUGACAGCUCAGAACCUGGAGCCUGCUUCAGAUUCUGUGUCUCCACCUCUCUCCGCCCCUCCCAUGCUCAUGCUCUGUCUCUUUCUGUCUUUCAAUAAUAAAUAAAUGCUUAAAAAAAUUUUUUUUAAAGAAAUUUCAAUGGCUUGGGGCCCCUGGGUGGCUCAGUUGGUUAAAUGACCAACUUCGGCUCAGGUCAUGAUCUCACGGUUCUAGAGUUCGAGCCCAGAGUCAGGUUCUGUGCUAACAGCUCAGCGCCUGGAGCCUGCUUCAGAUUCAGUGUCUCCCUCACUCUCUGCCCCUCCCCCACUUGCACUUUCUCUCUCUCUCUCUCUCUCUCUCUCUCUCUCAAAAAUAAACAUUAAAAAAAAGAUUUCCGUGGCUUUGCUUAUCUCUUUCUGCUUGUCCCUCUGAUAACGUGCCCACCCUCCAGAUCCUGAGAAAGACUUUCUUAUUAGCCCAGAAUCCCACCUCCUUAUCACAUAGUUACUUUUAAACCCCUCCAAUAACCUUGUUAAAUUCCUAUGACAUCACAUACUUUUAUGAACCUGGUCAAAAUUUAAGAAUGUUUUAAUGCAUAUGCAUGCAGUUGGUAAACUGCAUGCAAAUGAUAAGAGUACUAAAAUAACCAAGACUUUGCCUUUUCUGUGGUCAUGACAUCCUAGUUCUAAACCUCUGAGCUCAGAUUAUUUUCUGACUAUAAUCUCCUGCUCUUCUGCUUACUCUGCAGUUCCUGAUUCUCGCUGAUUGUCCUCCUCUUAUCUCAUCCUUCUGUUCUAGGCGUCAGGUCUGUGUUUCCAACACAUAUCACUCUGUUCAGUGCCAUUUCUUUGCUCAAGAAGCUUUAAUGCUGCACGUUGGUUAUUUCUCCUCACACCCUUCUUUUAAAGAGACCUGUUUUCUGUGGACUCCAGGAGCGUUUGUUUUGAGCAUUGUUGUGGCACUCCUCACACUGUGCUUUCUGAAUUGUCUCUGGAUCCUUCAUUACUUUUUGACUCUUCCAUGGUCACAGAGAUGCUUAAGGAGUGAUUGAGUGGCUAAAGGGACUCUUGAAAGUUUUGGGGGAUUUUGUUUGUUUUGUGUUUUUGUUUUGUUUUGUUUUCGGUAAUUAGAAUCUGUUAUAUCCUGAUGAGGACAACAGCUGGGAUGUGGGAGAAGUUUGUUAGAGAGUCUGACAGUCUAAUGACAUUAAAAAAAUUAAGCUUUGUCCUUGGGCUUUAUGCAUUUACAUGGUUCUGGGGAGUGAAAUUAUUUAUGAUUCAGGUACAUUGUAGUUAACUGUUACAUUUUCGCAACUGUGCUGUAUCCUUAUACAACUGGAUGUGUUCAGAUACUAUUCUAAUGUAAUUGAAUACUCACUGAAUCACAUCUUUAUGUUUUCACUACUUUUCUGGCUCUUUGGCAACUUGAGAAAACUGUAACAUUUCACCCUUUGUGUCUUUCAUUUGCUACUAUAGCAAGUAAGAGAUAAUUUAUGCAUGGAAGAUGCACCUAAAUAAAUCACUGUAAUUCCUAAUCCCUUACCUCCAAAAAUUAAGUCAAACCUUGAUUUUUCAAGAUUCUGUGAUCAAAAGUUCCUCUUCAUAUUUCACAAAAUAGUUAUUAGUGACAUAAUUUGAAUUUUUUGGCCCAUUAACAUGCUUUGGUUUGCUGUAUUGAAAAAAAGGGUAUUUGUGGUACAUCUUAAUUUAUUCUCUAAUGAAAGCUUAGAAGCUGGAAAGCUUAGAAGCUUAGAAGCUGCCUACUUAAUCUCCUUUGUUGAAAAUUGUACGUGACAGUGAGUGUUUCUCAAAAUAAAAUUGAUUAUUUAAAAUAGAAAACAGUAUUUUCUGGUGAGUUUGCGUGCACACAUGUGUGUAUGUGUGUGUGUAUCUUGAGCCAAUUUUUUGUUGUUAAAAUUUACUAUUUCUGUGUUUCACCAAUACAGCAAUUUAAAAAAUGUUCAUAAAAUUGAUCUGUUUUUUUAAAUCGUGAAAAUAAGAAUGUAUCUUGACAGUCCAUUUUUUAUAUUUUUGUUUGUUAGUGUAGCAGCUGCUUUCACUUGGAAGCAGGAUGAUACAAAGCUGACAUGGGCUUUGAAUGUGGUACAGAGUGCCUCACCUUUCCUGGGUCCCUGCUAUGAAUCUCAGUUAGUAACAUCCCUUGGCACUUCCAAGUAAAAGCCAAAGAGCCAGUUUCAUGUGAAUUGUUUCUUAAGGAUUUUUAUCCAUUUGUGGUGGCAUUAUUUGUUUCUUUUUCUUCUGUCAUUGCCUUCCUUUUUCCAUCCAGUGCCACCACUUUUCUUCAGCCUCUCACCUUUUCUGCCUGUAAUAUUUCAGUGUUCUUCCAACUGAUUUUCUGUUGCCCAGGCACUGCCCUUUUUAGUUCUUCCUCCACAUUGCUUUCUUUCUCAAGUAUAAACAUUUAUGUGAAUUGUUGCCUAAAAUCUUUUCAUAGUUUUUUAUUGCCUACAUAGCGUUGGGUGCAACACUUCUUGUGAUUUGCCUUUUUUGUACUGUAUCUGAAAAUUCCUGCCACCUCCGUUUCAUCCAUCCAUUACUGGUUCAAACAUGUAUUAAAUAGCCAUAUGUACCAACUCCCUAACCAAGAUAUAAGUUACCCCUUCUGAUCAUGAAUGAGUAGAGGAGAAAUCUCAUUCCUAAUUCUGGUGCUUAACAUCUUCAUUUGUGUCAUUUUUCCUCCCAUGGGUUUCAUGCUUGCCCUUAUGGGGUUGGCUGGUGGCCAUCUUUCUGUCUUUUGAUAAUAUUUUUAGAAGUAUGAUGUCUCUAUACAGUUUCCUUAUAUUCUGUCUGUAGUUAUUUAUACUCAUUAGUCUUUACAUUAAUCAUUGCUACCAGUCUCUUUUGUUUCCCCCUUGAAAUUUAGCUCUUUUGCAUAGCCCAUUAAACUGUGGAGGAACAAGUGUUUUAUGGUGCCAUUCAGGCAAGUGUGUGUCCUCUUAAAUAUCUUCUCUUUGUAUUUAGUAUACUGCAAUAAUCUGGGCUGAGAAAAACUUCUUUGUGGGAUAGUAUAUCAUUUGGUUCUGUAUACUCAAUAAGUAGUCAUGUUUGUGCAUCAUUUUACCAUUUAUAGAGGACAUUUGUAUUUGUUAAUCUUUUAAAUCUAAAUAGUCCUUUUUAAAAAAUGUUUAUUUUGAGAGAAAGAGAGUGCAAGCAAGGGAGGGGCAGAGAGGGAGAGAGAAUCCUAAGCAAGCUCUAUGCUCAGCAUGGAGCCCAACAUAGGGCUCGAUCUCACAACGGUGAAAUCAUGACCUGAGCCGAAAUCAAGAGUCAGACACUUAAUCGAUUACGCCACCCAGGAACCCUAAACAGUAUUUGUAGACUGAAAAGCUGAAGCUUGUAAAGGUCAACAGUGUCCCAGUACCUCCUAGCAGGUUGAUGGCUCCUCUGUAGGAUCAUGCUGCCUCCUUUCCCAUCCUGUCUUUUUGUGCUUCGUGGUCAAGACUGCAGUUUCUUUGUGUACUAAAAUACAGUUUACCGAUUUUAAUUAGCACUUUGAAUAUAUCAUUUCAUUUCUCCAGUAUUUCUGUUAGACAAGCCUGGCAUUAUUGUUUACAAAUGAGGAUAGUGCAAAUCAGGGCAGUUAAAUGACUUGCCCCAGUUUGCCAAACUAAUGAUUAAAAAACAAGAACACAUCUCUAGAUUCUAGCCUACUGCUAUUUCCAUUGCCUCAUGCUGCCUCUUUGCUGUACUGUAAUAUAAGUUGGAAAGUGAAAUAGGUUUUUAUUUGGGGGAUUUCACUGAAACAACUCUCCGUUAUACUGUAUAUUAAAAUGUGAAAUAUUAAAAUUAAAUGACGACUACUAUUGGCUUAAUUUAGCAUGAGUUUUGUAUGCCAUGCUACUACUAUGAUAAACGGAAUGGUUAGAAUCCAAUGAUACAUUAAUUGUCCAAAAUAUGUUACUGAAAGGAGAAAUAAUACCACAGGCAUGAAAAUGUGUUUUAGAGAUUGGGAUCAUCCUGUACUACUCAUUGGCAUUCUGCUCCUCCUGCUCUCAGAUUAAUUCUGAGGCCAUUCUUAGCCUAUGGAGGCAGAACUCUCGGGAUGGGAAAUCUACAUUUGGAACAGUCUCCUAGGCAGUGGCUGCAGCAUCCCAAGAUAUACUCUGGUUUUGCUUCAUAAUUCAUACCCAUUGUUUAAUCAGCAGAUGGAUUGAUUGCAAGAAUAAUAGCCUUUCUACAGAGCAUCUCGAGUGUGUGUGUUGUUUAGCAGCAAGAGUCUAUAGUGAGCAGGUAUUAGGUAGAGAGUCUGGAAUUCUUUAGGAUUGUAGUGCUACUUUACUCCAGAAUUUUUCUUUAGUUGUGGAGUCUGCAUAAACCUUGGUUUGACUGUGGUUUUCUGUGUAAUCUUGCAGCUGUGGUUUGUUGUGUCAUUCCUGAAUGUCUGCAUCUGAAUCAGUGUUGGAGUUGGGCAUUGUGUCAAGAGGCUGAAAAUUUACGAAGUUAGAUGGCUUUAGAUGAUAUAUACCAUGUUGUUUCUUAAUUUGUAAAUAAUACAACAGGAAAAUGAGAAUACAGCAACGAAGAGGAUGGUGCGGUAUAGUCAAGAAACAGGGAAUUGAGAAAUAAAAGGUUGACUUCCCACCGCACUGUAAACUUGCCUUCUGAUCUUACAAGUCUCUAACUCCUCUGGUCCCCCGUUUGUUAAAUGUAAAGUUAAAACACUCUCAGGGUUGUGAGGAUGUAAUUAGAGGAUAUUGGGGUCCCUGGGUGGCUCAGUCGGUUGAGCGUUGGACUCUUGAUUUCUGCUCACAUCAUGAUCUCACAAAAUAAAUAAAUAGGGGCGCCUGGGUGGCUCAGUCGGUUGGGCGGCCGACUUCGGCUCAGGUCAUGAUCUCGAGGUCCGUGAGUUCAAGCCCCGCAUCGGGCUCUGUGCUGACAGCUCAGAGCCUGGAGCCUGUUUCAGAUUCUGUGUCUCCCUCUCUCUCUGACCCUCCCCCGUUCAUGCUCUGUCUCUCUCUGUCUCAAAAAUAAAUAAACGUAAAAAAAAAUUAUAACAAAAUAAAUAAAUAAAGUUAAAAAGAAAGUAAGGAUGAAGGCACCUGGGUGCCUCAGUUGGUUGAGGUCUGACUUUGGUUCAGGUCAUGAUCUUAGGGUUUGUGAGUUCAAGCCCCAUAUCGGGCUCUCUGCUGUGAGCUGAGAGCCUGCUUCAGAUCCUCUGUCCUCCUCUCUCUGCCCCUCCCCUGCUUGUGCUCACUCAAAAAUAAAUAAAACAUUAAAAAAAACCAAGGGUGUAAUUAGAAGAUACAGAUAAAGACUCUUUGCACAUGUGCAAAGUGCUGUUCAGAUGUUACUUGUUUUAAGAAACAGUGGUUACCAUAUGUCAGGUCCUUAAAGAGAAGUUACUUCAGUUCAGACCUUCUAUCAACCCUGCAAAGCAGGCAUUACUAUCUCCAUUUGACAGAUAAGGAACCUGGGGUGUAGAGAGUCUGAGUAACUUGCUGAAGGACCCACACUAGUAAGUGAUGGUUCCUUAUUUAAGCUCCAGUGUAUCCCUUGCUCUGCUGCCCUGCUGUUAAUAAGGGAUCAAUAGUAGAGACUUGAACUUUAACAAUAAAUUGCAUUAUGCUUCUAAGAAAUGGAAAUGACACUUUAGAAGUCAGGAGAUCCAGAUGGUCACUAUAUUUUUGAGUAAGUUACUUAAAUGUAUUCUGUUAAAUACCUUUAAAAUACUUGGCUAUGUUUCUGCCAACGUUUAUAUGUAAAAUGUCUUAUUGUGAUUUUAAUCUGUAUCAGAAUAAAUUUCCUUUGAAAUGAUUAAAAUAUGUUGUAAAAAUCCUAUUUUAAUAUUUUCUUCUUUUUUAAUUUUAGUCAUUCUUACACUGGUCAAGAUUACAGUACACAGGGAAAUGCUGGGAAGAUUUCUUUGGAUCAGAUUGAUUCGGUAAGCAUCGCAUCCUUCUAAACUUGAACAUUUGUCAAUGAGGAAGCACAGAUUUUCUUCAAAGAUUAUUUUGGGGUGAGGAGAUGGGAGAGAAUUUCAUUUUAUUGCUUGCCAAUCAUUUUUAAAGGAAGUCCCAUGUGCUAUACAGGUGAAUUUUUGUAAUCAUAGGAAAAUCAAACUUAAUCAGGAAAUUAUUUGCAUUCUGAUGAACAGAAUUUAAUCAGUUUUUCCAAAGGGGUAUUCUUUUAGGUGAUGAUAGCUAAAUGGUAUUUGUAUGUUUAUAUUUAAAUACCUUAUACCUAAAAGGGCGCCUGCUGGCUUAUCAGAAGAACAUGUGACUCUUGAUCUUGGAAUCACAUGAGUGAGUGGGGCAUGAGUUCAAGCCCCAUGUGGGGUGUAGCGAUUACUUAAAUAUAUAAACUUUAAAAUAGGGGCAUCUUGGUGGCUCAGUCGGUUGAGCGCCUCUUGAUUUCGGCUCAGGUCAUGGUAUCCUGGUUCGUGAAUUAGAGCCUGUGUGAGACUCUGCACUGACAGUGCGGAACCUGCUCGGAUUCUCGCUCUCUGCCCCUCCCCCGCUCUCACUCUCUAAAUAAAUAAACAAACAAACAAACAUUAAAAAAACAAGGAUGUAAUUAGAGGAUAUAGGUAAGGACUCUUUCUUUGCACAUGCAAAGUGCUAUUCAGACAUUCACAUGUUACUUGUUUUAAAUAGUGAUUACUUCCCAUAUGUCAGAUUUUGGAACAGAAGUUACUUUAGUUCAAAUCUCCUAUCAACCCUGAAAAGCAAGCAUUAUUAUCUCCAUUUGAAAGAUCGGAAACCUGGGGGAUAGAGAGUCUGAGUAACUUGCUAAAGCACACGCUAUCUCUCUCUCUGUCUCUUCUCUCUCUCUCAAUAAAGAAAUAAACAAACUUAAAAAAGUUUAAAAUACAUUGAGUGAAUGAAUGAAUGAGUAAAUGAAUGCCCCACCCACCCACCUACCUACACACCAACCUUAUACAUUGAGAAAAAGAGAAAUGGAAAAUGCUAAGUUUGCUAGGGCUGCCAUAACAAAACACUACAGACUGAUGAUGCCUUAAACAACAGAAAUUUAUCUUCUCACAGUUCUGGAGGCUAAAAUUCUGAGAUGAAGGUGUUGGCAAAUUUGAGGCCUCUUUCCAUGACUUUUAGGUGGCCACUUUCUCCCUGUGUUCUCACGUGGUCUUUCCAGUGUGCUUGUGCAUCCCUGGUGUCUCUUCCUCUUCUUAGGACACCAGUCACGUUGGAUCAGGGUCCCACACGCAUGACUUCAUUUAUAUUAAUUCCCUCUUUAAAGACCCCAGCUCCAAAUACAAUCACAUUCUGAGGUCUUGGUGGUUAGGACUUCAACAUAUGAAUUUUGGUAGGUUACAGUUGAUUUCAUUAACACUAAGUAUAGGCUCCCAUGCUUGUGUUGCUACUAGAUUAAUGGACAGCUCAUUUCAACUUCACUUUGUGGUUCUGUUGUAGAAUGAAAGAGUAGUAUGCUUUACUAUAAUUUAUAGAGUUUUUCUUUUUAAUGCAUUGUAGAAUUUCUGCUCUACCCCAAAAAGGGAAACUAAACUAGCCAUAAAUAAUCUUUAUUUAGACAGUUACCAAAUUAUUUACAAUAAAUUAAAAAUACAUUGACAUUUUAAUGCUUGGAAAUAAGAAUAAGGUGAGUAGGGAGAGACCAGGAGUUUUUAGAGACCAGAAUGAAUAGGUUGUCUUCCUGUUUGGAAAAAUUAUAAUCAAGUACUUGCAGUUAAUAUGUCUAGAAAUAACAUAAGGAUUGCUCACUUUGUACAGUUGAAUUGAAAUUUGUUCUCAAGGAUGCCCCAUCCUUUACUUUCCUCAAACAGUUAUUAUCUCUAACACUUCCUCUGUGCCAUAUGAUUUGUGUUUAUACUAUGUGAAUGGUUAGAAGUUAAUUCUAUUCCUGAUUCAAUCAAGAUGUUCUGCCGUUCACAAGCAACUGUGAACUUCACUGGAUACUGUGGGAAGACAUAGAAAUAUAAUCAUUAAUUUACUGAAUAUAUAUUGAACCCAUCAAUUAUGUACCAGCCACUGUGCUGUUCAUACAGAGGUGAAUAAAACAGAAAAUUCCUCUACCUUCAUGGACCUUACAUGAGGGAGGUAGACAACAUGUAAAUAAUAAAUAAUCAAUAUAAUGAUAAAUUAUCUUAAGUGCUAUGAUGAUCAUAUCUGUGGGUCUAUGCUUGAGACCCUGUGCUAAAUUGAUUAAGUGUAUCUUUAUCUGUACUUCUUCCUAACUAUCUGUACUGCCUUGUCCUUAUAACAGCAUGUCAUUAUCACAUCCCUUGAUAUUCUCAGUUUCUUCUUCAAAUGUUUUCUUUAGAUUUUUCUUCUCAUUGAAAUCUGGCUCUCUCAAUGAUGUUGUUUCUCCUGUGCCUCUUGGUCGGUUGGUCUGUCUGUCUGUCUCUCUCUCUCUCUCUCUCUCUCUGUCACACACACACACACACACACACACACACACACACCUUAAUUUGGUAUGAGAUGUAUCUUCCUUGGUCCAUUUUACCAUUUGCAAACCAUUUCUCUGCCUUCCUGCCUUCCAUUAGCAGAGCUAUAGCUCCUUUAAAGCCCUGUAAUCCCAUUACAGUUCUCCUUGUUGCCUGCGUCCCUGUCUCCUGCUCUUGUUCACGGGUGACUGUAGCAUGCUGUCAUGGUCUCUUGCACUAGCAUUACUCUUGUUACUCUUCUUGGCCUCUGCAACAUCCAUGUUGAUAAUUCAUCCAUGCUCUGGUCUUACAAUUCCUUUGUCUGCUCAUUAUCCAUAAGCAUUUUUCUGUUCCAUUGCUGCCAACCUAGACCGUAUGUUUUUCAUUUCCAUUAUUUGGAUUACUUCCAGAGUAUCUUCCUUGCUUCCGUAUAUAAUCUGUUCACUACACAACAGCCAGAGUUCUCUUUGCUUAUCACAUCAUGUCAGUCUUCUGAUCUGAACCCUCUAUUGAGUUUCUAUCACAUCUAGACUAAAAUCCAAACUUAUAACUAUGGCCUAUAAUGCCAUGUGUACUCAUGAUUCCAAUUUCAUCUUCUCCAUUCUGUCCCAUUCACACGUUUAGCCACUUGGACCUUAUUGCUAUCUCUGGAGCACACCAUGUUCAUUCCUUCUCAAGAUCUUUGCUUUUGUUUCCUUUACUUAGAGCAGUAUUCCUGGAUCUCAUUUGACUGGAAUCCUGCUUAAAAUAGGAUCAUAGCUGCAAUGCCAACUCCUCAGAGAGGCUUUACUGGCCACCUAAAGUAUUCCUUUCCUAUUCACACUUGAUCCCAUUAAUCUGUUUUAUUUUCAAGGCUUUUGGAAUUAGAUGUUACCUUUAUGUCUGCAUUCAUUGUCUGUUCUCCCAUUUGAAUGUAAGUUCUUUGAGGACAGGGUAUUUGACUUCUUUGUUCACUGCUAGUUCCCCAAGGCUGCACACAGAGUUGUGUUCAGUAGAUAUUUAGUGAUCGAAUGAGUAAACAGUGUUCAAGGAAUUGUGCCAAAGGAAGCUGAAGUUGAACUGGGUCUUGACCAAUGGCUUGGCUUUGGCUAGAUGGCAUGGGAAGUAGGAAGGGUUUUACCCCAGGCAGGGCCAGUGGAGUGACAAAAGUGAGAAGGAACAUACAAAACAUGACCAUGUGAUCAUGGAAUAACCCAACUGACUGGAGCAAAGGAUUCAUAUUGGUAUGGUAACACACUGGGCUUUUUUACCCUAGUUCCAUGGCACUUGAUUUAUGCCCUUGUUAGAGCACCCAUUAUAUGACUGAUUUAUGUGAGUUUUAGUUGUAUAAUAGUGACUGUUUCUUUUUAUUUUGUGUAAGUGAUUUAAAGGGGAAAAUUACGUUGUAUUCAUCUUCUUGUUUCCCAAGCCACCUAAUACCUAUUUGUUCUGUUGCACGUAAUUGAAAAGUAGCUAGUUACAGACAUUGACAGAACCUUGAAUGUUCAUACUAAGGAGGUUAAAUAUUCAUUGGUGUUUUUGGAUUAGAAAAAUGUUUAAGAAAAAUAAUUUGGUAAUAGUAUGAAGAUACAAGAAGGAACACAUGAAAACAGUAUACCUGACAAGGGAGGAUAGAGGCCUGGCUGGACUAGGUUGGGGAUGGAAGAAUUUCAAAGUUGUUAAGAUGAGAGGAUAAAGAGGGGCGCCUGGGUGGCGCAGUCGGUUAAGCGUCCGACUUCAGCCAGGUCACGAUCUCACGGUCCGUGAGUUCGAGCCCCGCGUCAGGCUCUGGGCUGAUGGCUCAGAGCCUGGAGCCUGUUUCCGAUUCUGUGUCUCCCUCUCUCUCUGCCCCUCCCCCGUUCAUGCUCUGUCUCUCUCUCUGUCCCAAAAAUAAAAAAAAAUAAAAACGUUGAAAAAAAAAAUUAAAAAAAAAAGAUGAGAGGAUAAAGAAACUGGAUGGUCGCUAGAGGGAGCAGCAAAGGCAAACAAAGUGAUACCUGCUUCUGCUUUGGGAGAGUUGAACUUCCGAAAAAAUAUGUGAGGGCGUGAGAAUUAAGUCUUGGGAGAAGGAUAUUGAGGAAGACAAAGAGAAUGCAAUUGAAAUCAUAAAUGAAAAAGGUUUUCUUUUUGUUAAAGUUUAUUUAUUAGAGAGAGAGAGAGAGAGAGAGGGCAGAAGAGGCAGAGACAGAGGGAAGAGAGAGAAUCCCAAGCAGGCUCCUCACUGUCAGCACACAGCCUGAUAAGGGGCUCAAACCUAUGAACCCUGAGAUCAUGACCCGAGCUGAAACCAGGAGUCAGGUGGGUAACUGACUGAGCUACCCCGGUGCCUCCGUAUUAUUUUCUUGCAACUGCAUGUGAAUCUAUAAUUACCUCAAAAGAAAAAUUUAAUUAAAAAUGAAAAAUAAAUAAGUGAAAUAAAUUUUAAUAAUAUAUUUUAUUCAACCCAGUAUAUCCAAAAUUUUAUCAUCUCAACAUGUAAUCAAUCAGUAUAAAAAUGUUAAGAAAACAGUUCAUCUGUAAUUGCAUUAAAAAUGCUUUCUUAUAGUUUUUGUUUUUAUUCUAAUUAGACUAAAUUUACAGUUUGCAAAUUAGAUUGAGUUUGCAACAGCUAUUGUGAGGAACCUGGUAAACCUUCCACAUAACAAAAAACUCUUUUUCUCGUAGCUUUCUACCAAAUCCUUCCCACCUUGCAUGCGGCAGUUACAUAAAGCCUUGCGGGAAAAUCACCAUCUUCGUCAUGGGGGCCGAAUGCAGUAUGGCCUCUUCCUGAAGGGCAUUGGUUUAACACUGGAACAGGCAUUGCAAUUCUGGAAGCAGGAAUUUAUCAGAGGAAAGAUGGAUCCAGACAAGGUAAUUUUGAAAACUCACAACAGUAG
rnacentral:lncRNA from 1 species